rnacentral:rRNA from 1 species
UACGAAGGGUGCAAGCGUUGCUCGGAAUUAUUGGGCGUAAAGCGCACGUAGGCGGCUUGGCAAGUCGGAUGUGAAAGCCCUCGGCUCAACCAAGGAAGUGCAUCCGAAACUGCUGAGCUUGAGUACUUAAGAGGAUCGCGGAAUUCCCGGUGUAGAGGUGAAAUUCGUAGAUAUCGGGAGGAACACCAGUGGCGAAGGCGGCGAUCUGGGAAGAUACUGACGCUGAGGUGCGAAAGCGUGGGGAGCAAACAGG